GACGAACGCUGGCGGCGUGCCUAAUACAUGCAAGUCGAGCGGACCUCUUCGGAAGUCAGCGGCGGACGGGUGAGUAACACGUGGGCAACCUGCCUGUAAGACUGGGAUAACUUCGGGAAACCGGAGCUAAUACCGGAUAAUCCUCAUCGAUACAUGUCGAUGAGCUGAAAGACGGUUUCGGCUGUCACUUACAGAUGGGCCCGCGGCGCAUUAGCUAGUUGGUGGGGUAACGGCCCACCAAGGCGACGAUGCGUAGCCGACCUGAGAGGGUGAUCGGCCACACUGGGACUGAGACACAGCCCAGACUCCUGCGGGAGGCAGCGGUAGGGACUCUUCCGCAAUGGACGAAAGUCUGACGGAGCAACGCCGCGUGAGCGAAGAAGGCCUUCGGGUCGUAAAGCUCUGUUGUCAGGGAAGAACAAGUAUCGGAUUAACUGCCGGUACCUUGACGGUACCUGACCAGAAAGCCACGGCUAACUACGUGCCAGCAGCCGCCGUAACAC
rnacentral:rRNA from 1 species